GAAAUGCGAUAAGUAAUGUGAAUUGCAGAAUUCAGUGAAUCAUCGAAUCUUUGAACGCACAUUGCGCCCGCCAGUAUUCUGGCGGGCAUGCCUGUUCGAGCGUCAUUUCAACCAUCAAGCCCCCGGCUUGUGUUGGGGACCUGCGGCUGCCCGCAGGCCCUGAAAAACAGUGGCGGGCUCGCUGUCACACCGAGCGUAGUAGCAUACAUUCUCGCUCAGGGCGUGCUGCGGGUCCCGGCCGUUAAACGACCUUCAUAACCCAAGGUUGACCUCGGAUCAGGUAGGAAGACCCGCUGAACUUGAGC
rnacentral:misc_RNA from 1 species